UGGGGAAUUUUGGACAAUGGGCGAAAGCCUGAUCCAGCAAUGCCGCGUGUGUGAAGAAGGCCUUCGGGUUGUAAAGCACUUUUGUCCGGAAAGAAAUCCUUGGCUCUAAUACAGUCGGGGGAUGACGGUACCGGAAGAAUAAGCACCGGCUAACUACGUGCCAGCAGCCGCGGUAAUACGUAGGGUGCAAGCGUUAAUCGGAAUUACUGGGCGUAAAGCGUGCGCAGGCGGCUUGCUAAGACCGAUGUGAAAUCCCCGGGCUCAACCUGGGAACUGCAUUGGUGACUGGCAGGCUAGAGUAUGGCAGAGGGGGGUAGAAUUCCACGUGUAGCAGUGAAAUGCGUAGAGAUGUGGAGGAAUACCGAUGGCGAAGGCAGCCCCCUGGGCCAAUACUGAUGCUCAUGCACGAAAGCGUGGGGAGCAAACAGGAUUAGAUACCCUGGUAGUCCACGCCCUAAACGAUGUCAACUAGUUGUUGGGGAUUCAUUUCCUUAGUAACGUAGCUAACGCGUGAAGUUGACCGCCUGGGGAGUACGGUCGCAAGAUUAAAACUCAAAUGAAUUGACGGGGUCAUAGCUGUUUCCU
rnacentral:rRNA from 1 species